ACCAUCCACCCAACCUGCCAACAUGAUAGCAAACACUGCAGGACCUACAAAUACCUCACCUGAGUAAAUGUACAAAGAUAGUUUCCAUGUUGUUCCAACGUCAUUCAUCCAUUGCCAGAGUUGAGGCAGGUACUAUCGCAACAUUUUAUAAACAAUUAGACAAGUACAUGGAUAGGGUAGGUUUAGAAGCAUAUGGGCUAAACACAGGCAGAUGUGACUAGUGUAUAUGGGGCAUGUUGUUGGCAUGGGCAAGUUAAACCAAAGGGCCUGUUUCCAUGCUGUAUGGCUACGACUAUUAUCAACAUGAUUCCAAAUCUAAAUUAUGGUUUAGUUGAGCAAUACCUCAAAAACAAACCUAGCUUUAAAAAAAAACUCUCUCAAUAGCCUUUUGCCUUAUUAUCUUUGUCAAUGAUCCCAGCAGUGUAACCUGUUGAAAAUCUCUGCUCCUCCAGUUCUGACUUGUUUAUUUCCAAAUUCAAUUAAUUCACCAGCGGCCAUUGCAUCUUUAUUUCGAAUGGUCCUAAACUCAGGAUAAUCUUCACCAAAACCUCUACCUCUCAUUCCUCAAAAUCAAUUUUUUUUAGUCUCCUGCCCUCAUUUAUCCAUACAUAGCUUGACAUACAGUUUGAUUUGUUUUUGUAGUCAGGGGAUAUAGUCAAGAACCAGGGGAUAUAGGUUUAAGGCAAGAGGAGAGAGAUUGAGUAGGAACCUGAGGGGCAACUUUUUCACAAAGAAAAACUAAUGGGGAUGUGGAACGAGCUGCCAGAGGAGGUAGUUGAUCCAGGUAUUAUAAUAAUAUUUAAAAUACAUUUUACGGGCACAUGUAAAGCAAAAAGGUAUAUUGGCCAAACGUAGGUAGGUGGGACUAGUGUAGAUGGGGCAUCAAGGGUUGGCAUGGGCAAGUUGGGCCAAAGGGCCUGUUUUCAUUCUAUAUGGGUCUUUGACUCUACAGUACUUGAGAUGCACCUUUGGAUGUUUAUCGGGCAACUGAAUCACCCGACCACAACCAGAGAGCAGUACUGAACUACUAUCUACCUCUUUGGUGAACCUCAGACUAUCCUUGAGUGGACUUUGCUGGCUUUACCAUGCACUAAACAUUAUUCCCUUAUUAUGUAUCUAUACACUAUAUAUGUAUUGCUUGUAAUCAUGUAUUGUUUUUCUGCUGACUGGAUAGCAAGCAACAAAACCUUUUCACUGUACCUCGGUACACAUGACAAUAAACGAAAAUAAUCUAAACUAAAAUGUUCAUGGCACUAGACAAAUGGAAGGUGUUGGUUGGCUGUGUUCGAUUGUUUGACCGAGGAUCAAAACCUGUGAUCAGAUUGUAAUCAAAAUUUCUCUUCUCUCAAAUACUGUAUUUGAAUCAGAGGGACAGCAUUUCCCUUGGAGAAUCACUUCAGCAUGGGAAAUAGUUAAAAUCUCCUCAUGGGCUUGUAACACAAAUGGUCAGAUAGUAGCGCUGUCUUCUCUGAGGCAGGGCAUUAUUGGUUCCAGCCCCACUGCAGGUCUUGAGGACAUAAUCAAGGCUGACCAUCUGCAACAGAUUGAGCUCCUGCUGCAACUACAUGUCAAAAUACCAUAUGAAGCCCUUCUCGGUCAGUCGAGAGGAAAUAACCAUGCAGGAGCAGCUGUGUCUAUGAGAAUGCUCUCUAUGUUAACUUAGACCCCCCUUGGUCAUGACUAACCAUGGGUGAUUAAUCCUGGUCGGAUGCAAGCCUGGGCGAUGUCAAAUGGAGGAGAGGCUGUUGCCCAUGCAGCAGGUCCCCCUCUCUCCAUGUCGCUGAUCGAUCCAAAGGAACAGCAGGGCCAUUACAGUUUGGCACCAGCGCCAUCGCAGCAGUUGUUUUUGCAUUCCUUGAGGAAAUCCAUGCAGGACGGAGCUGCAUGUCACGAAAUGGAACUACGCCGUGUCGCAGAGACAAAGCGACAGCACCAUUAGGGGAGAGAGAAGGGGGCUCGACGACUACCAACCACCGCCAGUCUCCACUGCCCACGUUGCACCAUGGUGCGUGGAUUGCGGAUCGGCCUCUACACACAUCUGUAGACCCCCAAGUAGAUGACCCUAUGGAGAGGAGAGGACAGUCGUACUCGAGUGACCGCCCUGGAUGAUGAUGACCCAUCUAUCUGCUCCUCAGGACCCAUUGCUCAUUUGUGGAGAGCAUCUAUGGUUCCUACAAUGUCAACCUGCUACAAAAUCAAAGUACAAAUAUGUCAUCCAGACCCCAAGGACCUGAAUGAAAAGUUUACUCCAUUAUUUCAAUGGACAUAAAUUAUGUCAUUUACAGGGAGAAAAUUACUCUAUUUUUUAUAAACCUGAAGCUAAUGACAUUGUUAAAUCAGAAUGAUAUAUUUGUUUGAUUUGUAUAGAAUGUAACAUUACCAAAAUUGGCAUCCACUGAGAUUAUUUUUGAUUGUGUGAAAUGAAUGUAACAGUGCAUUUGCAUUUUUCACAAUGCACAAUUUUGGGGGAAAGAGUGAGUGGGUGUUGGUGUAGCUAGUGGUGAUUAAUGCUGGUGAGAGUCAUUAUACAUUCAUAAUGCAGUCGAAAAAAAUACACUCCUGUUCUCACAAUUACCAUCCAUUCUCCAGUGGAAAUAAUUGUUCAGCAAACAGAAGAAUGGAGAACAGAAUGACUAUUUACCUUGGACGAAAUUGAGCAUUUUGGAGACAAGAAUUAAUGCUUAUCCACCUUACAUAAAUGGUUUUCAAUGGGCCUUUUGAUUUUGGGCCUUUUACCAAGAUUAGAAAAUUCACUGGCAGAUGAUAACACGAGAUGUAAACUUAAUUCAUCUCAGCUCAAAAAUAAAUAUGCCCAACUGAUAAUUGUGAAAAAAACUUUCACAAACUAUUAAUCCACAUUAACCGAAUCUUUUCACAGUGGAACAUAAUAUGCUAUCACUUCAAAGCACUUAAAAUAAAAAAAAUAGUGAUAUUUGAAUAUGCAUUGCAAACCUUCCGUUAUAACAAGUCUUUGCUUGUGUUAGAUGAAGCCCUUUAUAGCUAGCAGAACCAUGACUACAAACAUGUUAGUUCUUUAACUCCAUUCUCUGAAAUCUUUACAUAUAUGUUCUUAAGCAAUAUAUUAUAAUAUGGAAUCAACCCUUAAGAAAAAUCUUUUUACCCCUUCUAAGAAAACGUUGCACCAUUCACAAUUAUAGUCCUAAAAUGGCCAUUACUUAGUGGAAAUACCAGUCUGUGUCUUUCAUGAGAAAGACACCCAAUAAAGCUACGGAAAGGCCUAAUGAACCACCAUAGCCUAAAAAUCCAUCAGGCGAGAAUGAAAUGCUCUGAGAAGGAGAAAGAGGUGCAGUGCACAGGCCUUGAACCUGGUGAGACGCAGGAGAAGCCAGGGCAGGACUCACCCCACAGAGCCCAGUCCCUCCACGCACUAGAGUAUCCCAACCCCUGCAGAGUAGUUAUUAAGAUGGAUGAUCCGUGGGCGGUUGCUGUGGGUCGCAGGUUGGGGCCUGAUCAACCCCGGCUGGGUCUCCUGGGCAAGGGUGUCUGAUGUUGUGAGACCCGAAACACCCGAUGACCCCAGAUCGCAUCACUGAGGAUGCCUCCCAGCGCAUCUAGAAGAUGUAUAUUUUUCACAUCUGUCGAAAUGGAAUGGUACUGCACAACAGGCCACUCAGCUAACCCAUCCACAUUGACCAAAUGCUGCACAAUCCUACUCUUUCUCAUUUAAUGAUGUGCAUUCUAUUGCCUGCUGGACCUCAUUUGCUAUUAAAGCCCUCAUCCAAACUAUUGAUAUUAUUAAACCUCACUACACCAAUGCUUCAUUAAGUCUGAAGAAGGGUCUCGACCUGAAACAUUACCCAUUCCUUCUCUCCAGAGAUGCUGCCAUGUCCCGCUGAGUUACUCCAGCAUUUCGUGCCUAUCUUCGGUUCAAACCAGCAUCUGCAGUUCCUUCCUUCACGCUCCAUGACAUAACUUGUGUUGUAGACUCUGAAAACUAGAGGUAAUCAAAACUCUUAUAUUCCAAGCCACACCAAGUGCUGUUCAUCUACCAAUCAGACACAAAAGGAUUUGCAAUUGCAACAUUUGGCAAUGUUUCAAAUCCAUUCCUGGUUUCAUCCAUAAACCUUGAGAUCUUGAAAUAUUGAAUGCUUUCUCUAAUCCUUCAUCAUUUCAAGAUGCUCCUAAAAAUCUCAUCACUAGUUCCGAUAUCUCUUCAUUGACUAAACACUUUCUUUCUUUACAAUGUAUCAUGAUCUCCUUUGCGACACUUCUUCCUGUGCUGUGUCCAAAAUUAAUGGACAUUUUUAGUGUUAUAGAUAAUUGAAUUGUGUUGAUAUAUGUUCCUUAUUUAUGACCUUUUAUUAAUGUGGAACAUUAAAGAUAUAGUUUAGUGAUACAAUGUAAAAACGGUGUAGGAAGGAACUACAGAUGCUGGUUUAAACUGAAGAUAGACACAAAAUGCUGGAGUAACAUCUCUGUCCCGCUGAGUUACUCUAGCAUUUUGUUUCUAUCUUCAGUGUAGAAACAGGCCCUUCGGCCCAUUGAGUCUACACUGACCUGCAUUCAUUCAUACAAUGGUUCUGCAUUCAUUCAUACACUACUACAUACUAGGGAUUAAAAUUAACCAAUUAAAAACCAAUUAACCUACAAACCUGUACACCUUUGGAAUGCGGAAAGAAAUCGGAGCACCCGGAAAAGUCCCACGCGGUCAUAGGGUGAACAGACAAACUCUGUACAGAUAGCAUCCGUACCCAGGAUCGAACCCGGGUCUCUGUUGCUGUAAGGCAGGAACUCUGUCGCCACUGUGACUUGAGGUCACUGUGCCGCUCAGCCUGAACAAUUACCUACAACACUUAAAUUCAGCUAUCUCUAAAAUAUAGCAGUGCACAGCACAGGACCAGACUCUUUGGCCCACAGUGACCAUGCUGACAGCAAUGCAAAUCCAAAAUAAUCUCAGCACCCUGAUGAAAGUAAAAAUAAAUAUAUUUCACAUUCAUCCAUUGUGUAAAUAUGAUUGUGUUCAUCAAUAGUGCACUCAUUUAAAAACUUUUUCACACCCCUCCAUUUUUAGCAUUGUUUUUUUUCACAUCAUUCAUAAAUAAUGUUAGUUAUCGAGGGAUUGUGACAUUGGCAAGAUGUACCAGUCAUACCAUAAACCACCGAAGGAAUCCUUUCUGUACAAUGUGCUAGCUGCACAGCGAGUUAGUCCCACUCUCUUCCUCUUUCUGCAAAGCUCAGCAAAUAAUACCUCUGCAAAUAUUCAUGCAAUAAAACUUUAUCCUGGAAUGCUUCAUUUUUACAGUGAUUUCCAGACCAGAAUUGCUUGUUGUGUUUGAAGAAACCUUUCCUCGUCACCUUGUGAUCUAUGCCAACCACCUCCAAGCUAGAUUCUUUGACUCUUGCAACAACUGAAAACGUUUCUCCUUUUACUCUAUCAAAUUGAAGACCCAUUCAUGAUGUCAUCAUCUAUCACAUCCCCUCUUAACCUUCCCUCCACAAUGGAGAACAACACUCCACUUAACUGAUGUCCUUCAUUUCGGCCCCACUCUGGUAAGUCUCUGUCACUUCUCUAAAGACCCGUGCCAAUAGGUCUGGCACAAUACUCUGAGGCCUAACUCUUAUUGUAUGAAGGUUUAGCAUAGGUUAUUUGGAUUUCUACUCUAACAGAUGGAUUACACAUAUUUUCAACACCUACUCGUCUUGUCAGCAUCAGCUUGUCCCACCAUCUGCAAAAAUUUGUGCAUUAAUACCACUAGAUCGCUCUGUUCCUGUAAAUUACUUUAAAAAUAUGCAAGUGUCUCUGUGAAUAAAGCUCCU